UAUAUCGGCUCUUUUCCUCCGGACCGGGUCUCUCCGGCUCCCCACCCCAACCUCACCCCCCAGCCCUCCCUCCCAGGAAGGGACUGAAUGACAACUUGCAGAGUUGUUCUCGCUCGAGCAGCCGGAAGGAGGGAUUUACCGGGAAGAGUGCGUAAAGAGGAGGGAGAACAAGAGUCGCGAAGGACAGUCAGUGUCGGAGGUGUGGGUCCAGGAUUGACUUGACUUUUCUCCGGUCCGUCCCUCCUUUAGAAUCCCCGCUGUGGAGACAUCCGACGGCUUCCCGUCGUCCUCACCCCAAGUGUCCCUUACGUGUCUGCGCGAGGAGCCGCGGAGCCUGAGGUGAAGCAGAGAUCCUCUGAGACCAGCUGAGGGACACCAGGACAGAGGAUCAUGGAGACCUGCUCUACUUCAAGGAAACUUACUUUGCUCUCCUUUCUCCUGGGGCUCUCGGGUAAGUGGGCCUACAUUCAAAUGU